CUGCGUUUGUGCUUGUUUAAUGCAUUGUGCCCUAAUGCACCCUACAUUAUUAUUUUACUCUGUCUAAUGCCAGAUGAUUUAUACAUGUCAACAGGAGCGCACUGGUACUCUAUGGAUUAUUGGAUUAUUUAAUCAGACUAGUUAACCCAGAGUGUCCCUAUAUGUUGUGUGUCGUUGUGAUUUACUGUAAUUUGUUCUGUUUUUCUGUAGCGGUAUUUGC